CAAAGGAUAAUGGAAACUUGUGCAUCCGUGUGUAAAGAGUGCCCUAUGAGAGACAACGGGAAAAGGUGGUUAUAGGUAAAAAACUAUCAAAGAGAACGC